AGGAUAAGUAAUUAUAAAGCAUAAAGUAAAGACGUUAUUGUUGAAAUUCUUGUUAGAAGAUCAGAUCAAUUCUAGCAAAUCUUCUCUUCGUAUUACUUUCUACUUAUUGAGAGUAGCUUGCACAUGUCAGCAAUUUCUUUGUCAAAAAAGUUUAUUCACCUGUUCUCUUUUGUCCAUUCAGUAUCGCAGACAUCCUGUUCUUGUUUCCUACACUCGAACUUUUAUUCAUUCAUUUCGCAGAAAGAUAAAUAUUGCUGAUUACCAUUAGAGUAUACGCUAAGAGAGUAGUAAUCGUCCAUGCAUAAAGCUAUUGUCUAAAUAAUCUGUUUUGUAAUGUGUCUGUUUGUAUGUAUUUUUUAGUGUUUUUUGGGAGUAUCUGUAUCUGUGUGUGUGAGUAAAUGUAUCGCUGCUUUGUGUGUUUGUGUGAAUCUUUAUCUCUGUACAGUAUUUGUGUAAAUGUGUUUGGUGCAUCUGUGUAUUUGUAUGUGUGCCAGUGUAUAUCUUGCUGUUUAUGUGUUUGUGCGAUUAUCUAUAUGCAUAAGACUGUUGUCUAAAUAAUCUGUUGUAUCUGUCUGUGUGUAUUUUUCUUAUUGCUUUUCAGAGUAUAUGUAUCUCGGUUUGUGUAUAUGGUCUGGUGUGUCUAUAUAUGCGUAGGUGUAUGUCUGCUUCUGUGUUUGUGAAUUUAUAUCUCUGUAUAGUAUUUGUAUAAUUUUUGCUUGGUGUAUCUGUGUGUGUGCUUGUGAGAGAGUUUUGUUUGUGUGUAUUUGUAUGUAUGCCAGUAUGUAACUCGCUGCUUAUGUAUUUGUGUGUUGUUUCUUUUUGGUCUGGUGUAUCUCUCUGUGCUUAUGAGAGAGUUUGUAUCUGUGUGUGUUUGUAUGUGCAGUGUGUAUCUCGUACUUGUGUGUUUGUAAUUAUCUAUUUCUGUUCGUAUUUGUUUGUGUUUGGUCUGGUGUAUGUGUGUGUAUAUACUUCUGAGGGAGUUCGUAUCUGUAUGUGUUAGUAUAUAUCUCGCUGCUUAUGUGUUUGUGUGAUAACCUAUAUACAUAAAGCUGUUGUCUAUAAUAGAUUUAUUCCUCAUUGAAUUCUCUACUGUUUUACUCAAAAUCGUGUUUUAAUACUAAAAAUCUUCCACAAUAUUAUAGAGUUUCUGUACGAAAGCAAACUGUGUUCCUUCCCACACGACUGCAACAUGUUUGAGUUUGAUUCGGGAGAGAAUUUUUGCGAUUUUUCUUCAUUUUUGCUGACGAUAUUGUAUGUGUACACAAGGAGAAUGUACACGAGUCUCAGUACUCUCUCCACCCUAUCGCACCUCUUUCAACUCGUAAAGAAUAAGGACAGUUGUAUUUAUUCGUAUACCUCGAGGCAUUAUUUCAAAAAUGUCAAAUAGAAUUAUACCCUACGUUUGUAUAACGUGUAAUUCGUUUAUUGUAUAAUUUUUAUAUCUAUAAUUUCGUAUUCUUCUACCGUAAAAACUCUCAACGUCGAUUUGAUUGAAACGUAAUUGAGAACGGUUGUCUCGUUUACCAACUGAUUGACGGUGCAUUGUAUGCGUUUAAUGUGUCUUUUAAUAAUGCCUCAUCCGUUUAUGCAAAUUGGCGACGAGUGAGAUGCCUGUUGAUUGUAAUGCCGUGCUCGUUCCAAAGUAGAUGGGCUAGCACAGAAGAGAAGGGGGGAAAAAUCAGAAAGGAAGAAGAAGAAGAAAGGAAAAAAAAAACCCUCCGUAAUCCCAUUGGAACCAUUUCUCUUGUUAUCAAAACUGGUUUGUUCCAAUUAUCGAUAGGAAAAGGAUGAAAAAAUCAAUAUAGGAUUUGAUAUACAUCAAAGACUUGUUUGUUACAAACCUUCUGAUCGCAGAAAGGCAUCAGUUUGACGUCAUAAAAUCUUGCAAAUUUAAUGAAAAAAUAUUAUAAUUGUGACAUCUGAAGGUGAUAAGAUGGAAGCAAAUACGAUUAUUCCCUCUUAUCUUCAAUAAUCUAGACUGAUAUACGAGUGACGAAAUAAGGAAAAUCCUAUCCACCAGUUUUAAUAUAUAUAUAGAAGUUUAUACGAUGAUUAGAGUUUAUCAGAGUCGUUAAGAGUGAUAAGUCUUUGCUUCCUUACUCAUCUGUAAUGCUUAACAGUUCGCAAAAAAAAAAAAAGAAACAGAAAUAAGAGAUAAGACCUUGGCCCGAGUUAGUUAGGCGAUUGUUUAUUUUAACGAGAAAUUAUCAAAGUAUCGACGAUUGAUCGAUCGUUUUAAAUAUCGAAAUAAGGAAUAACAGAAGAGUAAGGUCGAGUUUAUAGAAAAUUUCCAGGAUUUUACUUUACCUGUUGUAGGUACGAUGAUGAGUGUUUGUUUAUUACUGUUUACAACUUUUCUGGUUCCAUUAAGUAGUAGAGGUAUAUAAUUUGAGCAGAGUACUGUACUAUAUUUAAGCGUUAAAGCAGAACAUGCAUAUGAACAUUUACACUCAGUUUUAUUGGAAUAUGCGUUAAUGUUUGUGUGUUUUUCUUAAUGUUUGUUGGAGUAUCUUUAACUCUGUAUAUGUGAUCUGGUAUAUCUGUAUGCGCUUGUUAUGUGUCUCUGCUUGUGCGUUUGUACGUGUUUUUCUGUAUUGUUGUAUAUUUGUGUAAAUCUGUAUCUCUGAACAGUAUUUGUGUUUGGUUUGAUGUAUAUGAAUUGGGAGUUUGUAUAUCUGUGUUUUUGCGAGCGAGUUUAUAUAUCUGUGUCUUUGUAUGAUUAUGCUUGUGCGUUUGUGUGAUUAUUUAUAUCUGUUUGUAUAUUUAUUUGUGUGUAUGAGUGCGAUUCUCUGUGUAGUCUGAUGUAUGUAUGUGUGUGUUUAUAUACCUCUGAUUGUGUAUAUAAAGUAUUGUGUGUAUCUGUUUCAGUGUUUUUCUUAGUGAUUGUGAGAGAAUCUGUAUUUCUGUGUAUGUGAUCUGGUGUAUCUGUGUCCGCUUAAUAUAUGUCUCUGUUUAUGUGUUUGUAUGUCUGUAUCUCCGUUUGCGUGUUUUUUUCUGUAUGGUUGUAUAUUUAUGUAAAUCUGUAUUUCUGAACAGUAUUUGUAUUUGGUCUGGUGUAUGUAUAUGUGUUUUUGAGAGAGUUUAUCUGUGUGUUUGUGUGUCAGCAUAUAUCUCGCUGCCUGUGUGUUUGCGAAUGUGUGUGCGUGUGUGUGUAUGUGCGUGUGAUUCUCUAUGUGGUUUGAUGUAUGUAUAUAUAUUUGUGUAUCUCUGAUUAUUUAUAUAUAUAAGGCAGUGUGUGCAUCUGUUGUGUAUUUUGUAUGAGUAUCUGCUUCUUUGUGUUUGAUUCUCUGCAUAGUCUGUGGUUAUAUUUAUGUAUUUAUGCAUCACUAUUUGUGUUUGUGUUUUUUUUUUGUUUGUUGUUUUUGUAUUGUUCAUAGAAAACAGACAAUCAAUAGAAUAGAUAAGCUGCUCCUUUCCAUUCAGUAAGAGUACUAAGAAGGCAACUGUAGGUAGAUAAACUAAAAUCUUGCCCGAU
rnacentral:lncRNA from 1 species